GAACUCUGGAUUAUUGACUGGCUUUGAGUACCCAUUUCCUCUCCUAUAAAGGAAUGGAGCCUCUGCGUCAUAUUUAAUGCAACCACCAGGACAGGAUGAUACACUUGCUCAACCACCAAAUAUAUUGACUUUCUGUUAAAAGGCUUUUAACAUAAAUUUUAAGAGAGCAACAAAAUACAUCACCGACGAUUGCUGAGAAUGCGGGGCUUCAAAACUCUGCUGAGGCGCUCCGGACCCACAGGAACUGAAAUAGUUUGCCUUCACUAUCUGGUAGACCUGCUCGAGCCUGUAGCCCCGACAGAAACCACAACACUGUACAAACUGGCAACUGUGGGUUUGUCUGUUCUCUAUUGAUUCUAUUUCUGGAAGAAAAAAAAACAACAUACACGAACCAAUGAGUGAGCCACGUGACUGUAAAACUGACCCAAAGCUCCCGUUCAGAACGAGGAUGGUGACCCUUUGUAGACAGGGCAGGAUGGGACCCCAAAACUUUUCUGUUUGCCUCUUAACCGUGCAUGACCUUUGGAAGCUUUGACUUGUAAGUUUAAUUCCUUGUUCUGGAAUAUGAAACCACUAUAGAGUCUUUUUUAUUUUAUAGCAUGUUAUUUAAAUUUGGGCCUAUUGUUCCAAAUAUCUAAUAACACAUAUAAUAGAGACCCAGUAUGACUUUGCUUAAAUAUCUUAGCUCUUUCUUCCAACGUGAGAAUUACAGGGCAACUCCACCAUAAGGCAUUCAAGAAAACAAUACACGUGUACUUUCCAAAGUAUGAAACUGCAACUGCUGUCGUGUUCCUUUUUCUUGAGCUUUGGUAUCGGUGCUAAAUCCCAAUACUCAAGUAAAUAGAAUGCAUGACUUCUGUGUAGUAUGGACUAAUGAAAGAGCUCUCUCUGGUCUUGGGUCUAAGAAGCAAUGUGUCCUCGAUCUUCCCUCUCUUUCUCCAUUACAUGUCAGAUGAUGAAAUGAUCUCGAAGUCUUGUUCUAGUUCAAAGAUUCAAAGUGAAUAAAAGCCCUUGAUAACAACAGAGAGAUCCAGGUAGUGGGGAACACAUCCUAUUAAGCACCCACGCACGCACACCCACACACAUACAUACACACCAGAAAAACCAAAAUAGCUCCCCUCUCAUCUUCCCCCAACAAUG